rnacentral:lncRNA from 1 species
AUUAGGUGGGUGGGGGUGAGGGGAGGGUGCCAGGGUCUGCACAGCCACUUUAUCUGGCACCCAUUGUGUUGUCAGCCCAGAGCUGGGGGCUCUCGAGAGUGAGGGGAGAUGCAAACCACCCCAGCCCCCAGUGACUCAUGGGCUCUUUGGAGAAACGAGUCUCCUGGUACAGAGCACAGGCAGGCCAGCCUGGAGGUCCCCCAGAGGUGGCUGAGGGUGUUCAGGGAAGGCUUCCCGGAGGAGGUGUGGUAGAGUCCCAGCCAAGAAGCAUGAAGUAUUGCACUGAACGGAAAGGAGAGGUGUUCAGGACACUGUUGGUAGCCACCAUGUGUCACACCCUGUGCUAAGCCCUUUACACUGACAUCAGUUUAAUCCUCCCAACAACCCUGCAAGGGGCAGUAAUCUUUCCAUCCGACUUUGCAAAUGAGGAAACUGAGGCCCAGAGAGAUUAGGGAACUUGACCAAGCUCCCAGUGGUAAGCCGGGAUUCAACUCAGGGCUGUCCCACUCCAAAGGCUGACCUCUCCCCCCUCCACCGAGGGUCUUUUUCCACCUUAGCCAAGUUCCUCGGGCAAGGGCUGGUUUCUGUUUUUUUGGGUUUUUUUGACCCUGGAACAAGAACUGUUAAAUUCAAGGUGGGGAUCUAAGAUGCCCAGGUAGAUUUCCCAGAGGACAGUGGGUCAAGGACAUGAAGAUCAGAGAGGAACGUGCCUUGUUUUACUUUUCCCAGGAGGCAGUGGCUGGGCCCCUUGGCGGUGCUGCCAGGUUUCACCGAGUCAGGCCUCCCCUACCGCCUGGCCUGCCUUACCAAGGACCCACAUGCCCUCCCGCACUCCCCAGCCUGCCCUUUCACAUACCAAGUUUUUUCCCACCCCGGAUGUUCACUCUGGGACUGCCUCCUUUGGGGUUCCUCAGAAGUUAUCUAUGCCACUCUGAGGAGCGCAUGAAACUGAGGUGAACCAGACAGAACAGAUUUAUCUGGGGCAACUAGCAUGACCCUAGAGAUGGAGUCAGGAGACCCAGAGCCACCACUACCUCCCAGUGACGUCACGCGAGUCCGUUGCCUGCUCAGGUCUCAGUUUCCUCAGUUCUAAAAUGAGGAGCGGCCUGGAUGGUCUUUGAGCUGUCACAGAUGGAAGGAAAGAAGAGACAGUCUUUGGAUCAGUCAUCUUUGGUCCUCAGAGACACUGAAGCCACCUGCCACAGCAGCCGGGCCCCUGAGCAGGCUGGGAAAAACCCUACAAACAAUGGGCUUUGGGACUCGGUCUCCCCCAUCAACAAAAUUGGAAGGUUGGACUAGACCAGCAGUGGCAAAUACAUGACAGGAAUACUGUUACUCUUCCUCUUUCAUCCAUGGCAGACAUUGCUAAUCAAUUACAGCCCUCAUUCCCAGGGGACCCAGAUGCAGCCUCAGAAUCCUUUUCAACACAGGGCUUCAGGCAGCCCCUACCAAUCAACCAGAUUUGCCAUGCAUGAUAAAAAGCAUUUGUCCUCCAGUGGCCCUAGAUGAUCUCCAAGCUGCCCUCCAGCUGUGCUGAUCUAGAAUUGCAACCCAUUAGGCGUCUGCGGACUCAGCCUGGAGACCACCAGAUCGACAGCCGUCCCUGGGGCUUCCCAGGUCUUUGGAGCUGCCCUUGAGCUGGGCCACGGCUGAGCUGGUGCCUUAUUAAUUUUCCUCACUGCUAAUAAAUGUGCAUUGCGUCAGCUCCAUUCUGCC